CACGUAGGGGGCGAGCGUUGUCCGGAUUUAUUGGGCGUAAAGAGCUCGUAGGCGGUUUCGUAAGUCGGAUGUGAAAACUCCAGGCUCAACUUGGAGACGCCAUUCGAUACUGCGAUGACUUGAGUCCGGUAGGGGAGUGUGGAAUUCCUGGUGUAGCGGUGAAAUGCGCAGAUAUCAGGAGGAACACCAGCGGCGAAGGCGGCACUCUGGGCCGGUACUGACGCUGAGGAGCGAAAGCGUGGGUAGCAAACAGG
rnacentral:rRNA from 1 species